AUUGAACGCUGGCGGCAGGCCUAACACAUGCAAGUCGAACGCGUGGCGGACGGGUGAGUAAUGUCUGGGAAACUGCCUGACGGAGGGGGCUAACUACUGGAAACGGUAGCUAAUACCGCUUACAGUCAUAUGUGCCCAGAUGGGAUUAGCUUGUUGGUGGGGUAACGGCGCACCAAGGCGACGAUCCCUAGCUGGUCUGAGAGGCUGACCAGCCACACUGGAACUGAGACACGGUCCAGACUCCUACGGGAGGCAGCAGUGGGGAAUAUUGCACAAUGGGCGCAAGCCUGAUGCAGCCAUGCCGCGUGUAUGAAGAAGGCCUUCGGGUUGUAAAGUACUUUCAGCGGGGAGGCGUUACCCGCAGAAGAAGCACCGGCUAACUCCGUGCCAGCAGCCGCGGUAAUAC
rnacentral:rRNA from 1 species